UACGUAGGGGGCGAGCGUUGUCCGGAUUUAUUGGGCGUAAAGAGCUCGUAGGCGGUUUGGUAAGUCGGAUGUGAAAUCUCCAGGCUCAACCUGGAGGGGUCAUUCGAGACUGCCAUGACUAGAGUUCGGUAGAGGAGUGUGGAAUUCCUGGUGGAGCGGUGAAAUGCAUUGAGAUCGGAAAGAACACCAACGGCGAAAGCACUCUGCUGGGCCGACACUGACACUGAGAGACGAAAGCUAGGGGAGCAAAUGGG
rnacentral:rRNA from 1 species